UCUGGGCAAGAUAGGUGUUUUUGCCAUAAUAGCUAAGGCGAAGAGACUGCAUAGCGUCCAUCAAUUUUUAACUAGAGGCCAUGGUUUGAACUAACAUAGCUGAUUUCUUUUGGCUCAGUGCAUCAGUGACCACAUUUCUUCUCUAGGGGUGAUGAUGAUCUUGCAGUCAUGGUCCUUUAGAAGAUCCAUCUAGCAUCUCUGUCUCAUGUUUAACUC
rnacentral:lncRNA from 1 species